rnacentral:lncRNA from 1 species
UGGGGGUGACGUCAUGGGAAGUGAUGUCAUGACUGGGGAACCCCCCCCCCAUUCACCCCUGUGGGGGCAUUGUAGUUGGGGGUGAUGUCAUUGGGAAUGACGUCAUGAUGAGUGACGUCAUGGGAGGGGGGGAAUUCCGCUCCUUCUCCCCUUCUCCGGAGGGUAUAUCGGAGGUGACGUCAUGAGACCAGGAAUCCCCCACGGACACUAACUGGGGGUGACGUCAUUAGUGGGGGAAUCCCCCUCCUCCCCUCCUGUGGGGGCAGAGUGGUUGGGGGUGACGUCAUUUGGAGUGACGUCAUGGGAGGGGGGGAAUCCCCCGACUUCUCCCCUUCCCAGGAAGGUGUAUUGGAGGUGACAUCAUGGGGAGUGACGUCAUGAGUGGGGGAAACUCCCCCCACCCCACAGAGACUGUAGUGGUUGCUGACGUCAUGGGUAGUGACGUCAUCAAUGGGGGAAUCUCCUCCACCCCACUCCCCUGGGGGACGCAGUGCCUGGGGAUGACAUCAUAAGGUUGUGAUGUCAUCGGGAAUGACGUCACGAUUGGAGCCUGUGUGGGGACACGGGUGUCACCCAGAGCUGGCACAGUGACACUGAUGGCACCUGGACCUGGCACAAGGACACAGAGGUGGUGUGGUGACAGGAUUGUCACCUGGAUGUCACCUGGGUGUGACACCGAUGUCACCUGGAUGUCACCCGUGUCACACAAGGACAUGGACAUCGUGUGGGUGUCACACACGGAGCUGGGACAGUGGCACCGAUGUCACCUGGGUGUGACACAAGGACACAGGAGUGACACCUGGAUGUGACACAAGGGACACGAGUAUCACCUGGACCCUGUGUGGUGGCACAGAUGUGACACGGAUGUCACCUGGCACAGUGACACCAAUGUCACCUGGAUGUGACAGAAGGACACAAGAGUGUCACCUGGGUGUCACCUGGACCUGGCUCAGUGACAGAGGUGUGACAUGGAUGUCACCUGGCUAUGACACAAGGACACAAAUGUGACAUGGCUGUCGCCUGGGUGUGACACAGGUGUGACACCGAUGUCACCUGGAUGUCACCUGGCAGUGACACAGGUGUCACCUGGAUGUGACACAAGGACAUGGGUGUGAUACCGAUGUCACCUGGACUUGGCACAGUGACAGAGGUGUGACACGGCUGUAACACAAGGACACAAAUGUGACAGAGAUGUCACCUGGGUGUGACACAGGUGUGACACCAAUGUCACCUGGGUGUGACACAAGGACACAGAUGUGACACCAAUGUCACCCGGACCUGGCACAGUGACACCGAUGUCACCUGGAUGUCACCUGGCAGUGACACGGAUGUGACCCGGGUGUGACACCAAUGUCAC